UACGUAGGGACCAAGCGUUGUUCGGAUUUACUGGGCGUAAAGGGUGCGUAGGCGGUUGUUUAAGUCUGUCGUGAAAUCCCCGGGCUCAACCUGGGAAUGGCGAUGGAUACUGGACAGCUAGAGUGUGUCAGAGGAUGGUGGAAUUCCCGGUGUAGCGGUGAAAUGCGUAGAGAUCGGGAGGAACAUCAGUGGCGAAGGCGGCCAUCUGGGACAACACUGACGCUGAAGCACGAAAGCGUGGGGAGCAAACAGG
rnacentral:rRNA from 1 species